rnacentral:rRNA from 1 species
AGUAAAUUGGUUAAGUUAGAAAGGGCGCACGGUGGAUGCCUUGGCACUAGGAGCCGAAGAAGGACGGGACUAACACCGAUAUGCUUUGGGGAGCUGUACGUAAGCGUUGAUCCAGAGAUUUCCGAAUGGGGGAACCCACUAUCUUUAGUCGGAUAGUAUCCUUACGUGAAUACAUAGCGUGAGGAAGGCAGACCCAGGGAACUGAAACAUCUAAGUACCUGGAGGAAGAGAAAGAAAAAUCGAUUUCCUGAGUAGCGGCGAGCGAAACGGAAAGAGCCCAAACCAAGAAGCUUGCUUCUUGGGGUUGUAGGACACUCUAUACGGAGUUACAAAAGAAAGUUAUAAAUGAAGCGGUCUGGAAAGGCCCGCCAAAGACGGUAACAGCCCGGUAGUUGAAAUGGCUUUCCCUCCAGAGUGGAUCCUGAGUACGGCGGAACACGUGAAAUUCCGUCGGAAUCCGGGAGGACCAUCUCCCAAGGCUAAAUACUCCCUAGUGACCGAUAGUGAACCAGUACCGUGAGGGAAAGGUGAAAAGCACCCCGGAAGGGGAGUGAAACAGUUCCUGAAACCGU